GAUCAGUGCCUGUCUGGGUGGA
rnacentral:miRNA from 1 species